UGGUAAUUCUAGAGCUAAUACAUGCUAAAAACCCCGACUUCGGGAGGGGUGUAUUUAUUAGAUAAAAAACCAACGCCCUUCGGGGCUCCUUGGUGAUUCAUGAUAACUUAACGAAUCGCAUGGCCUUGCGCCGGCGAUGGUUCAUUCAAAUUUCUGCCCUAUCAACUUUCGAUGGUAGGAUAGUGGCCUACCAUGGUAUCAACGGGUAACGGGGAAUUAGGGUUCUAUUCCGGAGAGGGAGCCUGAGAAACGGCUACCACAUCCAAGGAAGGCAGCAGGCGCGCAAAUUACCCAAUCCCGACACGGGGAGGUAGUGACAAUAAAUACUGAUACAGGGCUCUUUUGGGUCUUGUAAUUGGAAUGAGUACAAUUUAAAUCCCUUAACGAGGAACAAUUGGAGGGCAAGUCUGGUGCCAGCAGCCGCGGUAAUUCCAGCUCCAAUAGCGUAUAUUAAAGUUGUUGCAGUUAAAAAGCUCGUAGUUGAACCUUGGGCCUGGCUGGCCGGUCCGCCUCACCGCGUGCACUGGUCCGGCCGGGCCUUUCCUUCUGGGGAUCCGCAUGCCCUUCACUGGGUGUGCCGGGGAACCAGGACUUUUACUUUGAAAAAAUUAGAGUGUUCAAAGCAGCCUUUGCUCGAAUACAUUAGCAUGGAAUAAUAGAAUAGGACGUGGUUCUAUUUUGUUGGUUUCUAGGACCGCCGUAA
rnacentral:rRNA from 1 species